rnacentral:rRNA from 1 species
GUGCCAGCAGCCGCGGUAAUACGUAGGGUGCAAGCGUUGUCCGGAAUUAUUGGGCGUAAAGAGCUCGUAGGCGGUCUGUCGCGUCGGCUGUGAAAACCCGAGGCUCAACCUCGGGCCUGCAGUCGAUACGGGCAAACUAGAGUACUGCAGGGGAGACUGGAAUUCCUGGUGUAGCGGUGAAAUGCGCAGAUAUCAGGAGGAACACCGGUGGCGAAGGCGGGUCUCUGGGCAGUAACUGACGCUGAGGAGCGAAAGCGUGGGGAGCGAACAGGAUUAGAUACCCUGGUAGUCCACGCCGUAAACGUUGGGCGCUAGGUGUGGGGCUCAUUCCACGAGUUCCGUGCCGCAGCUAACGCAUUAAGCGCCCCGCCUGGGGAGUACGGCCGCAAGGCUAAAACUCAAAGGAAUUGGCGGGG